CUGAAUGGAGGCCUCCUACAGGGAGGAACUGAAUGGAGGCCUCCUACAGGGAGGAACUGAAUGGAGGCCUCCUACAGGGAAAUAGGAACUGAAUGGGGAGUGUCUUUGGCUCUCUGGAUCACUGCUGGUUGACUCUACUGUCUGCUGGGUUGAAGCAGAUGGACAGAGUGAGAUUAACCAAGCCUAAUUGAACCAGCGUUACAUGAUCACUGUAACAGAGGGUAACCAACCGGAACUGAAGUGACUACGGCCUGUUCACUUAACAUGGUUAACAAUGUUUAAAAAAAAGAUUGAACAUAUUUGAGCUGCAGUACUGUAUAUAUGUGUAUACAGUAUAUAUCUAUUCUCUUUUGAAAGAUCAUUGGAGGAAGGUAGGGUUAAUACCCCAUAAGAUGUUGGCUAGGCCAGCUCUCUGGUCUCUGGUAGGCAGCUAAUAACUUAUUUCCUCCAGUUACCAGGCAGCCAAGAACUUAUUUCCUCCAGUUACCAGGCAGCUAAGGCCUUAUUUCCUCCAGUUACCAGGCAGCCAAGAACUUAUUUCCUCCAUUUAACAGGCAGCUAAGGCCUUAUUUCCUCCAGUUACCAGGCAGCCAAGAACUUAUUUCCUCCGUUUAACAGACAGCUAAGGCCUUAUUUCCUCCAGUUACCAGGCAGCCAAGAACUUAUUUCCUCCAGUUACAGAAAGCUUUACAUAUUUUUACCUGACCUGUAUUCUCACACAUAUUGUGCCAAAGAAGAAAACCC
rnacentral:lncRNA from 1 species